UACGUAGGGUGCGAGCGUUAAUCGGAAUUACUGGGCGUAAAGCGUGCGCAGGCGGUUUGUUAAGACAGAUGUGAAAUCCCCGGGCUUAACCUGGGAACUGCAUUUGUGACUGGCAAGCUAGAGUAUGGCAGAGGGGGGUAGAAUUCCACGUGUAGCAGUGAAAUGCGUAGAGAUGUGGAGGAAUACCGAUGGCGAAGGCAGCCCCCUGGGCCAAUACUGACGCUCAUGCACGAAAGCGUGGGGGAGCAAACAGG
rnacentral:rRNA from 1 species